UCAGAAAGCUUGCUGAGUGAGAGUUUCGAGACCGUGGGCUCGAGCCGAGCGAAGCGAGACAGCGUCACGAAGUGACGACCCGAAGGGCGAGGCCGCAGGCCGAGUAACACCGAAAUGAA
rnacentral:sRNA from 1 species